UUUGAUUUCAACUCCAGCCACCAGUGACUUCAACUGUCACUUUUCUGUCAUGCAGCUGACUACAUGUGUAAGCUGUUCAAACUCUGCCUGUCCUUAUCAUUCAAGACUGUGUGUUAUGAGGACUGCUUCCCUGAGAAUGCUGAGUGCAUUCUGGAAUAUUCCAAAUGUGUGCCACUUCCACACCGACGCCCGCAAGAGAGUUCACUCAUCAGGUCAAAGUUGGUCUGUCCUGAUGGCACUACCUGCUGCUUGAUGAUGUCUAGUAGCCAUCGCUGCUGCCUUCAACGCGGUAGUCCUCACAAAUAAACUGAUAUCAAGAAUUAACACAGAUGGUGAUGGUGGCAAGUGUGCCUUCAGAAGGUGCCACCCAGCAGUCCCAGCCUGCUUUUGCAAGUCCGAUGGGGGAUGAUCUAUGUUAAGGUCGUGUAAGCAAGAGGGCAAGUGCUGCUGCAGGCAAUGUUGCGAUAAGCCUGCAACAGAUAUAGCCGGCCUUCUAAAAUCCAAGAAUGAGGAAUGCCUGAAACAAGGAACAACUCGGCAGUGUAUGUGAACGUGUUUACCUGUGUGUGUAUGAGUGUGCAUGUGAGGGUAUGCGUGUGAGUAUGUAUGUGUGUGGGAGUGUAUGAGUGGUGGGUGUGUGUGUGUACAACUUGUGCUCUGAUUGUGCACCAGUUUGCUCAUGGUUAUGUGUUAGCCUGUACACUUUUUGUUUUGUUUUAGGUGGGUGAAUAUUUAUAUAUGUAUGGGUGUGUGCUGUAAUGUAUGUGUUUGUGUGUAAAUCCGUUGAGUUCAUAUCAGAUGAGGGCAACACCAUGCCAGUUUGAUCAUGGUUAUGCGUUUAAAUGUAUGUGACUACACCUGUAUGUAUGCUUAUGUAUAUUAGCCUGUAUGCUUUUU